rnacentral:lncRNA from 1 species
CUUGUUGGAACCAAAUUGAUACCGCGUUUUAACAAUUACGUCAAAGACAAAUAUGGUGUUCAAUUAUUGGAAAAAUUAACAACCAAUAUUGAUAAAGAUACACGUGAUGUGAUUGUUUCCUUGUUGCUUCAUAGUAUGUUAAAACCGACUCAUCGCAAAAAAAAACAAGAAAACAACUUUAUUUGAGUCCAGAGAAGCAUUUCUUAUACAUGCUGCUACCAGGCAAGAGCUUCAACAUAAGUACUUGAAGGUAUCAAUAAGUGCAAAGCUGGAGAAACAGUUCAACCACAUUUGUGCGGAAUCGGUGAAGAUGAUAUAAAUUUGACGCAAUUUUAUGUAUUCUUCGCUAACAGCUAUUACAAAGUAGAAAAUUUUGUGAAAAGCAUAGAUGUUUGCUUAAAAUUAUUCGAAUUGCAUUCGGCCUCGCCUUUAAUUAUUAGUCUUAGAUUGUAUAAGAUAUAAACAAGUUAAAUAAAGAACGCUCCGGUGAGCUAAAAA